ACCUUGCAAAAGUUUCAAUGUAUCCUUGAUCAUAUACGGAUCAAAACCACUGAAAUCUACAAUUGCAUCAUAAAAAUCAUAUUGUUCUGCACUCCAGCAAUCCUUUAAACUUUUCAUUCGAUCACAUUUCAAAUGCUUUACCCGUGGUUUGAUAUUAUCGUCAGUGUCCCAGUACCAAUUUCCUCUGGUUACUAAAGUCAAAUCGUGUCCAUAUUCUAGCAGUUUAUUUACGCUAGCUGCACCAAUAAGACCAUUUCCCCCAAACACCAACACCCUUUUAACAUCAUCCGCGUUAGUCCAAAGAACAAGAGAGCAGAGUAUGAGAAAUGAUAUCAAUAAGCCCAUGUCUGUGGUUUUGUGUAUUAAUAUUUAAAAACACUCCUAAAUACAACUACCGGUGUA
rnacentral:lncRNA from 1 species